AGAGUUUGAUCCUGGCUCAGAACGAACGCUGGCGGCGUGCCUAACACAUGCAAGUCGAACGCGAAAGGCAGUAAUGCCGAGUAGAGUGGCGCACGGGUGAGUAACACGUAACUGACAUGUCGGAGAGACAAGGAUAACCAUUCGAAAGGGUGGCUAAUACUUGGUAAGCCCACGUCCUUGGGGAUGAGGGAAAAGGGUCG
rnacentral:rRNA from 1 species